UUGGUCCCUUCAAUACAAAGCCAAUUCCAUUUCGUGUCUGAUAAAGAUAGGGAUACCCGGAUACGUAAAGACCCUUGUGUUGUCUGGACAUUUACACGGCGGCCGGAUAGCAGCUCCGCCACCACCCAUCGCCGGAGCUGUCUCACUCUCAACUUUACCUUAUGACUCUGUCUAACAAGAAGGCCAAUCAUGAUCACAUUGAUCGAAUCAGUGACUUACCAUGUAAUGUUAUUGAUGAUAUCCUAGCACGCUUGUACAUCAAAGACCUAGUUAGGACUAGUAUUUUGUCAAAAAAUUGGAGGUAUAUGUGAACUUCAGCCCCACAACUUUGGUUUGGUGAAGACUAUUUUGACGAGUACAAGGAUCUCGAUUACCCUGGCCCUGUAGCUUCUAAAAUCAUCACAGAUGUUCUUAUGCAACACAACGGUCCGAUACAUAAGUUUCAUCUUUUCAUACCUUAUGACUACAAUUUCAAGAUCAUAAUUGAAUUCCUCAGUACGUGGAUUCCGUUCUUGUCUAGGAGGGAUAUUAAACAUCUCGAGCUUUUGAACUACGGAACACAUGUCGAUCAAAUGCCAUAUACUGUCCUCGCUUGUAAGGAGUUGACUUACUUCAAAUUUUCCGGAUUUAACUUGUCAAUUCCACAUGAUUUCUGAGGCUUUAAAAGAUUGCUUAAUCUUCACUUAUCUAAUGUUACAUUCGAGUCCGGUGCACUUGAGGGUCUUAUUUCUGGCUGUCCAUUACUUGAAAAGCUCAGCAUUCAAUUUUGUGAAGGUUUUGAAUAUUUUGAUAUUUCUGUUACUACUCUCAAAGUCUUAUUGCUACAAUUUCAUCAAGAGAUGAAGUCAAUUUGUCUCAAGAAAGCAAUUAAUUUGAUUGAUCUUACACUCAAAGCUACUAAUGGAUGCGUAUGUAUUUGGUUUGAUCAAAAGUUUACCAAAAAACAUUCAAAGGCUUUCUAUUGGUCCAUGACUCGGUGUUUACAAGGUUAGAAAACAAACAUCACUAUAGAUUGUAUAUUUAUUAUUUUCAGUUGGUUUGUAUAGUUAAAAGAGAAGCAAUGUUGAAUUUUGAUCGAUGGUCCAAUCCAAUAUAUAUGCUGAAAGUUAUUAUUUUUCAUAUGCAUAGAUGCAGUAUGCAAAUAUCAUUCCUCAAACGCUGCUAAAAAGCUCGUUCAGCUCCAUGAAGUAUCUGAAAUUGGGUAAUGUGAAUUUCAAUGAUAGAGGAGAACUUUUGUAUAUUGUUAGUGCACUCCAAUGUGCUUCUGGCUUGGUUGAACUUGUUAUACAGAGUUUCGUGGAUGUUUGUAACAUACAAGUGUCGGAUCAUUCAGAGGAGUUAGAAUGCAAUAGUUAUUGCCUUAAUAAUCUGCAGAUUGUGAAUAUCCAUGUUAGAGCUGGUUCUCAGCAUGCAAUGAGUUUGAUACGGUUCAUACUUGCAAAUUCUACAUCAUUAAGGACUCUUACUUUUAAAGUUGCUCCUAGUUCUAAGAAUUUCACAAGACUUGUUAAGGAUGGAACGAGCAUCACAAAGAGCACAUGUUGAAUUCCUUCUAUGGUGAAUAUCGAUGUUAGUGCACAUGUGAGUAUUUGAGGAUGCGGUGACAGUGAAUGUAUUGUUUGUACUACGGAUGUGUUUGGUAAAAUUAAGCUAUAAGCAUCCUGAUAGUCGAAAAGUUAGCUUAUUGCUGAUGGUUGAUAGCUAAUAGCUGAAAAAUUAGCUGAUUGAAAUUA